ensembl:snRNA U6 U6 spliceosomal RNA
GUGCUCACUUUGGCAGCACAUAUAGUAAAACUGGAACAAUUCAGAGAAAAUUAACAUGGCCCCUGCUCAAGGAGGACAUGGAAAUUUGCAAAGCAUUCCAUAUUAAA